rnacentral:rRNA from 1 species
CAGUAGCCGCGGGAAUACGAGGGGGGCAAGCGUUGUUCGGAUUUAUUGGGCGUAAAGGGUGCGUAGGCGGUUUGGCAAGUCUUGUGUGAAAUCUUCGGGCUCAACCCGAAGCCUGCACGAGAAACUACCGGGCUUGAGUAUUGGAGAGGUGGGUAGAAUUCCACGUGUAGCAGUGAAAUGCGUAGAGAUGUGGAGGAACACCAGUGGCGAAGGCGACUCUCUGGUCUGUAACUGACGCUGAGGAGCGAAAGCGUGGGGAGCGAACAGGAUUAGAUACCCGCGUAGUCCCUGUCUCUUAUAU